CAAUUAAUGGGAGUAUACUGGACUGUUCCAAUAGUAGUUUCAAGUUACUCUGCACAAUAGUAGGUGUGUCGGCUUCCUUGUCGCUCAUUUCACGCUUUUCUGUGAGUUGUUACCGUUCACUUACGGAAUAACGUAAACAAAAACACUCAAGACGGCGAACACGCAGCUACGCCUGUAGCAGAACACCGACGAGUAACUCGACUCUCGUAAUUCCUUUACAGUGGUGCCAACUGCAACACUCCCAGGGUUUUUUAGCCAAACGACGUAUUCACAUUAUCGGUCUGUAACAUGCCAAAUAGUUCCUCUUGUUUCCCACGUGAUGUGGCUUUCAGGCCUAUUUAGGUCCAUGCAGUUGAAUACAAAUUUUAAUUAAAUAAUUUUGUAAUAGAACCCAGUACAAAAAUAUUGCGCCAAACGUUUCUUCUGUAGUGAUCUUGUAAUGGUUUUACUUCGUCGAAAAUAGAAAUAUCGGAGGACAUUUGCAUUAGUUUACUCUACAAAAUUAACACGUUAACGAAGAAAAAGGCAAAUUAUUAUGUUGUAUUGACAAAUCUGUUUGUGACUUACUACCGCAGUUAGUGCGCACAGUCAUUAAUGAGAAAUGUUACAGGUUACGGCAUCAGAAAAUGCUAAUCUAAAAUUCACACGCUGCAAGAACAGCAGGGGCGUAUGCGUGAUUAAAAGAAAAGCUACUGCUGUGUCAUCCAAACAAGAAACAGCCAGGGGAAAAGCACCACAGGCACAAAGAUGUGAGCGGGUGCCAGUGCCAUAGAGACUCACCACUUCUGUGAGUUCUGUCAUUGCCACAGGCAGCGCUGAGGAUGAAGACAGGCGGCGCUGAGGAUGAAGGUUUCGACUUUGCCUUGGCCAAUUACUGGCAGAGUACAAUUUGCCAAUGACCAUAUGACAACGGACAGAAGCCUAACUUGGAAGAUAGAAGCACAGCUUUGGCCCACUCGGUUAUAGACCAGCGUCCGGGGCUGACUUAGACAGGGAAUGUCAUUUGUUGUUAAUUGCAUUUCCUAUGUACCGCAAAGUUUACCUACAAUUAUUUGCACUUAGCCAUUGAGGGUCAUUUUGUGUUGUAUUACAGGCAGUGUUGCAGACUUAAUUAUUCAACAAGUCACAAAGAUAAAUAAAGUUUUUAACUCAUU